UACCAGCUCUCCGAGUGGUAGGGAUGAUUAUUGGGCUUAAAGCGUCCGUAGCCGGCUUAGCAAGUCUCCUGUUAAAUUCAGCGACCUAAUCGUUGAGCCGCGGGAGAUACUACUAGGCUAGGAGGCGGGAGAGGUCAACGGUACUUCCGGGGUAGGGGUGAAAUCCUAUAAUCCCGGGAGGACCACCAGUGGCGAAGGCUGUUGACUAGAACGCGCUCGACGGUGAGGGACGAAAGCUGGGGGAGCGAACCGGAUUAGAUACCCGGGUAGUCCCAGCUGUAAACGAUGCGAGCUAGGUGUUGGGGUGGCUACGUGCCACUUCAGUGCCGCAGGGAAGCCAUUAAGCUCGCCGCCUGGGGAGUACGGCCGCAAGGGCUAGAAACUUAAAGGAAUUGGGCGGGGGAGCACCACAAGGCGUGAAGCUUGCGGUUC
rnacentral:rRNA from 1 species